AACUAACGCUGGCGGCGUGCCUAACACAUGCAAGUCGAACGAGAAAGUUGGCUUCGGCCGAUGAGUAAAGUGGCGCACGGGUGAGUAACGCGUGGAUAAUCUGCCCUUUAGUUUGGAAUAACGUACCGAAAGGUGCGCUAAUACCGGAUAAUACUGAAUGACUACUGUCGUUUAGUCAAAGAAGGCUUCUGUUUACAUGCCUUUGCUGAAGGAUGAGUCCGCGUACCAUUAGCUAGUUGGUAGGGUAAUGGCCUACCAAGGCGACGAUGGUUAGCUGGUCUGAGAGGAUGAUCAGCCACACUGGAACUGAGACACGGUCCAGACUCCUACGGGAGGCAGCAGUGAGGAAUAUUGCGCAAUGGGGCAACCCUGACGCAGCAACGCCGCGUGAGUGAGGAAGGUUUUCGGACCGUAAAGCUCUGUCGAGCGGGAAGAAAUGCAUGGUGGCUAAUAUCCAUCAUGCUUGACGGUACCGCUAAAGGAAGCACC
rnacentral:rRNA from 1 species